AGCCAGAUGGACUCUGUGUCCCCAGUCCCUGAGUUAGCUGACCGCCAGGGCAGGGAGGCCAUGUUGCUCCACACCUUUUUGAAGAAGGCCUUACCUUGAUUCCAUAUGUUUCAGAAUUAGCUGUGUCAUCUACAAGAGAAGGCCAAAGGUACACAUUUUACAAAUGAAGGAAGAGGCAACCCCAUGGACUGAAAUGUUCUCUGAGGUAGAAUUGACGCAAUCAGGCCUGGCAGGCCUGGAGCAGAUCCUGAAUGCAGCAGAUGAAAAACAGAACAAGACAAUUACAAGACCACGACAUGGCCUCUCAACUAAGUGUGGUUCGAUUUCAAAGAAUCCUGCUUCUACAGUGGAUGGGCACAAUUCUCCUGAGUUGCCAAAUUUCAACAGUUACUACAUGUUAAUGCAUUUCGCACAUAUAUUGAUCACAUACCUUGACUACGGAGGUGAUGUUACAAUGGAUGAGGCUCUGUAAUAAAUAAUCACAACCACACAUCAGCCGGAUGAUUAAAGAAAUUCUCCUGGAAAGUAGUUGGUGCUAAAGAACCAUGAAGUGGGCCAAAGUGCAUGUCUGAACGGUUUCAUCACUCACCCUGCAAAUUAGGCUCAUAACUGCCUUCCAGCAAGCAUGCACUAGCAUCAAGAAACAUCUGACUCCCAUUCUGUCAUUCUGUACCUACGUCAUCUUGACUAGACGUCAAUUAAGAGUUUCCUGGAAAACUUGGAACUAUGUUCCUGGAGGAAUAUAAAUACGGUUUUUCAAAGGGAGCUACUCCAUUCCCAGCUGGAGGAAGAGGGGUUAGCCUAUGUGAGUCUAGGAGAACAGAAAGGCAAAUGGUUGUAUAAUAUAAGGUAGAAGUUCUGGGCUAUGGAGGGCAGGUAAAGAAACCACUAGAAUCACCCAAGAUAAAGAGAAAGGACAAGAGGACAGACACAGACACUAGCACAAACAGACACACACAGGCAGAGGAGCAACCCUGGAACUUGCUGCAUGGAGAGACAUAGAUUUGUGCCAGAAACACAGUGUGGGAGACAGAGCCCACACAGGAGAUGUGUGGUCCAGAGAGGAGUUCA
rnacentral:antisense_RNA from 1 species